UACGGAGGGGGCUAGCGUUGUUCGGAAUUACUGGGCGUAAAGGGCGCGUAGGCGGCCCGCUAAGUCGAACGUGAAAUCCCCGGGCUCAACCCGGGAACUGCGUCCGAUACUGGCAGGCUUGAAUCCGGGAGAGGGAUGCGGAAUUCCAGGUGUAGCGGUGAAAUGCGUAGAUAUCUGGAGGAACACCGGUGGCGAAGACGGCAUCCUGGACCGGCAUUGACGCUGAGGCGCGAAAGCCAGGGGAGCAAACGGG
rnacentral:rRNA from 1 species